GAUGAACGCUGGCGGCGUGCCUAAUACAUGCAAGUCGAGCGAACGGACGAGAAGCUUGCUCUUCUGAUGUUAGCGGCGGACGGGUGAGUAACACGUGGAUAACCUACCUAUAAGACUGGGAUAACUUCGGGAAACAGCAGCUACUACCGGAUAAUAUUUUGAACCGCAUGGUUCAAAAGUGAUUGACGCUCUUGCUGUCUCUUAUAGAUGGAUCCGCGCUGCAUUAGCUAGUUGGUAAGGUAACGGCUUACCAAGGCAACGUUGCAUAGCCGACCUGAGAGGUGAAUCGGCACAAUGGGAACGAGGACACGUCCCGAAUCCCUAGGGAAGGCAGCAGGAGGGAUACUGCAGCAAGGGGCGAAAGCCUGACGGGGCAACCCCGCUGGGGUGAGGAAGGGUUGCGGAUCGUAAAACGCUGUUAUUAGGGAGAAACAUAUCUGUAAAUAACGGUGCACAUCUGGCGGUACCCAAAGCAGAAGGCCACGCUUAACUCCGG
rnacentral:rRNA from 1 species